GGAGAGAUGGCUGAGUGGUUUAAGGCAGCGGUUUACUAAACCGCCGUUCUCGCAAGAGAACCGUGGGUUCGAAUCCCACUCUCUCCG
rnacentral:tRNA from 1 species